rnacentral:rRNA from 1 species
GGGUGAGUAACGCGUGAGAAUCUAACUUCAGGACGGGGACAACAGUUGGAAACGACUGCUAAUACCCGAUGUGCCGCGAGGUGAAACCUAAUUGGCCUGAAGAAGAGCUUGCGUCUGAUUAGCUAGUUGGUGGGGUAAAAGCCUACCAAGGCGACGAUCAGUAGCUGGUCUGAGAGGAUGAGCAGCCACACUGGGACUGAGACACGGCCCAGACUCCUACGGGAGGCAGCAGUGGGGAAUUUUCCGCAAUGGGCGAAAGCCUGACGGAGCAACGCCGCGUGAGGGAGGAAGGUCUUUGGAUUGUAAACCUCUUUUCUCAAGGAAGAAGUUCUGACGGUACUUGAGGAAUCAGCCUCGGCUAACUCCGUGCCAGCAGCCGCGGUAAUACGGGGGAGGCAAGCGUUAUCCGGAAUUAUUGGGCGUAAAGCGUCCGCAGGUGGUCAGCCAAGUCUGCUGUCAAAUCAGGUUGCUUAACGACCUAAAGGCGGUGGAAACUGGCAGACUAGAGAGCAGUAGGGGUAGCAGGAAUUCCCAGUGUAGCGGUGAAAUGCGUAAAGAUUGGGAAGAACAUCGGUGGCGAAAGCGUGCUACUGGGCUGUAUCUGACACUCAGGGACGAAAGCUAGGGGAGCGAAAGGGAUUAAAU